ensembl:lncRNA
GAAAAACUUACCCAUUUAGAAUUUCCAAACCAUACCCGGCAAAAGUCUAAAGAAAAUGUUGAAAUAGAUUGGUUUGAUUGUGAUAAUUUUCUAGAAAGUUCAGAUUGUUAAUGAAAAUUACUUUCAUAACAAUAUUUGCCUGGUUUUAAUUUAGAAUAUUCUUUCAAUUUAAAUGAAACCCCACAACACUAAGCCUUUUUUUGUUUGUUUGCUUUGGAAGGGAAACAGACACUGGGUUCAUUUUGAAUUCAAACAGAUGAUUUUAUCUUUCACUAUCUGACUUAAAAUGUAGUAAAAUUGUUAUUAAUAAAAUUUAGAAAAUUUAAUUAACAUGAAAUGCUAGUCCUCUUACAGAAUGGUGCCUAGGAGCUGUAACUGUUGUCUUACACAAAUCUUAAAUUUUCUCAUUGAACCAGCUUCCAGAAUGGUAGCAAUUUUAGUGCAUCAGUCAUUGAUCCAUGCCAGUUUCUGGGGAGGAACCUUGACCAAAGUUUCAAAAUUCCUAAUGCACUGCUGCCCAUAAAAAUAUGCACAGCCAGUCACUAUGACUUCAGCUAUCGUCAUGCUCAAUGAAAACAAAAGUCUGGUGAUUGAAUUGUGACAAACUGAGUAUACGCUUUCUACAUUUCCUCUCCACACACUGAAGGCAAUGGCUAAACUAAAGUAGUGGCCAGCUGUUGGGAAUAUGGAUGACUCCCUUGAUCCUUUGUCUAGGCAGGCCAUCACCAGUGGUCAAAAUCUGAAGCAUGAAGGUGUAAUAUUCUCUCUCACUCCAGCAUUGCUAACCUGGACUGGGUGGAUACAGAAAAAGUCAGCAGGUUCCCAUCAAUUGUUGAGGACUAAGUCAAGCAUUAAAGUGUUCAAUUCUGGAUUUUCAGAGGUUGGUAUAAAACCAUGUAAACCAUUUAUUCAUAUUUUCAUAUAAGACUAUGUUCUAUGAUGAUUCAUCUUGCUAUGAAAAAUCAGUGCAUAAAAGUUAAACCAGAGAUGUCCAGGUAUGAUAAAACAAAUAUGUAUUUUAAAUAGAUCUGAAGCUGAUAUCACAGAUCCAUCGAAUCAUAAAAUGGCUUGAGUCGGAAGGGACUUUAAAGAUUAUGGAGUUCCAAAUCAGAAUCCCUGGGCAGGGAUGUUCAGGGCCCUGUUCAACCUAGCCUUGAACACUUCCAGGGUUGGGUCAUCCACAAUUUCUUUGGACAAGAUGUUCCAGUGCCUCACCACCCUAUGAGCAAAGAAUUUCCUCCUAACAUCUAUCUGAAAUAUCUCCUCUUUUAGUUUAAAACCAUUCCUCUUGUUCUUUACUAUCUGCUAGCAUAAAAAGUUAUACUCUCCUUCCUUUCCUAAGUGACCUUUUAGUACUGUCAGGCCCCAGUGAGGUCUUCCUGGAGCUUUUCUUCUCCAGGCUGAACAAUCCCAACCCUCAUCCUGUCUUCAGAGGACAGGUGGUCCAGCCCUGUGAACCUUUUUGUUCCCCUCCUCUGGACCUGCUCCAACAGGUCCACAUCUUUCCUGGAAUGAUGACUCCAGAGGUGGAUGCAGGACUCCAGGCGGGGUCUCAUGAGGGCAGAGUAGAGGGUCAGAACCACCUCCCUCGACCUGCUGGCCAAAUAUUGUCAGUUAAAACUUGUUAUGGGGGUUAUAGCAGCUUUCCAUAGACAGAGAGUGACAUGCAUCAGAGGAGGGAGUGUGGAUUUUCUGCUUACAAAAAUACCACUGACUUAUGGAGUUUGAGCAGUUUCCCAAACAAAGAAUUGACUCCACCCCAGCCUACAAAGAAAAAAUAAUUGAAGUCACAUUAUUUCUUCAAAUACUUUCGAUUCCAAAUGUUUGGUAACCAGCUGACUGUUGUGGUAAUGCUCCUUCUUCUGCACAGAAUUUGUAUUCUAGAUCUACAUGAAAUUAGUAUACAAAAUGAACUGAGUGAGUGAUUUGUUGUAAGAAGUUUUUGUUGUGAAAAUGUAAUGAAUAUUUCAUGGUUCAAAUUCAAAGCAACUAUAAAAUAUAAAGUUUUGCUCUGAUGCAUAAAAACAAUUCAUCAUAACUGUUAAAUACAAACCAUAUUCACUCAUGGUAUGAACCAUAAAUAUGACAAGAGGUCCCAGGAAGUUGUAGUUAUGGUUGAGGAGUCUGCAGUGAAUACAGCAAAAUUCCUCCCAAAUAUUUUAAAUAAUGCUGUCUUUCCUGAUGAUAGAUUGUAUUUCAUUGGCAUCAAGAUUUACAAAUCAGUCAGGGUCACCAAAACUCAAUUUUUUUCACUGCAUCCCUAAACCAAUGUUGUCCUGGGUUUCCUCCCAAAUCUAUCCCAAACCAGGACAAAUAUAACAUUCAAGUAUAUAAAAGAAUUUAUUUUAAAAAUCAAAAAAUAUGUCCUGCCAAGUCCUGUGCCAGUUUAUUUACAAGAACCUCCGAACAUUUUACCCUGUGUGCACACCAGGCCUUUCAACACAGUUCCUGGUCUUAUAGAGACACUUUUGAAAUGACAGAUCUCAUGGAAGUCAAAGGAAUUGUUAGUAAAUUGAAAUGUAACACUAAUACCAUGGACAUUAUUUCCCCUGGAGUAAAAUAUAUGUUGUUGUUCUUGAGAUCCAUGCUGUUGAAAACAUCUGAUACUUCUUUAGCACAGUACUGCAUAAGUCCAUAUGAUAGCAAGACUGAUUUUUAAACUGAAUUAAUUAUUUUUUAAAAAAAUUAUUAAUUUAUAUAGUGAUACUUACAUUUUCGUGCUGUUAUUUUCUUACUAUUGAUCUAUAGAACUGCAUUUCUUGAAUGGAGGCAUCCGCAGCAGCUGGAUGGAUGGUGGCCUGCUAUAGGCUCUGUAGAACAGUGCUACCAUCUGUGCUGUUCUACAGAAGUCUCAGACUGUGGCAUCCUCCCUUGUAAGGACUGAGCUGCCUGAUUGGGACAUACAGACAGUGUAAAAUCUUGGACAAAGAGCAGAAACACUGUGAUUGCUGUAGUGGUUCAGAGAUACAAUGGAAGUGAGGCUUAUAGGGAAGACGAAUCUCUCAUACAGCCAAGAUUCCAGCCUAGCACUCCAAUCAGAAACCUUAAAAACCUCAGCAGACUUUGAAGCAUGAAUAUGAAACAUUGUUCAUAUUACUGAAUGAAUAUAAUAAUUUUCAAAAUGCAUAUGCCUGAAUGUAUUUACUUUAGAAGCAAGCUUUCAAAAACUCUGUCUAUACAGCUUGAUUCCAGCAUUAAUACCAUUUGCAAUGAGCUAGCUAAUGAGCUUCUGGUUUUGAACAACUUGACUCUAUUUAUGAAAGAUUAGACCCACUGAGAAUCACAUUAUUCUUUUUUCAUAAAGUGUUUGAAUCUAGCUACUGUAAGGUUGCACAAUACUGCAGAACAGUCAGAUUCAGAGAUUAUUUAAUCAGUAAUAAAAUGUCAUUGUAGGCAGCAUAGCAGAACUUCCUAAAUCCCCCGAUGCAUGGUCGGCUUAUUUCAUUAGAAUCUGUGCUGGCUGUUCUCCAAAGAUGCAGAACUAAUGCUAUCUGCAAUUAUCGGAUUUUGUUAAGCACAGAGCAUUCGACAGUUACAGUGUUAAUGAAUGAAGAAUAGCUAGGCAAGCCUCUAAUCCAUUGCUCAUUGUUUAAAAAAAAAUUAGAGCCCAGCCCUAUCAUACUCAGUUAUAAUAUGACUCAAAUCAGCAGAAUAAAUAGCUCUGCACCUUUUCUCCCUGUGAGGCAAAUGUAAUGCAUUGCUUGCUAUUUUGCAAAUGAGAGGCUUUUUACUGAGAAAUCCUUUGCUGAGAAAUAAGUAUGAUGUAAAAUUUUCUAACAAGUAGGGUUAUGAUAUUUACCUAUCAUGGCCAUAUUCCUGCCUGUUGCAAAAAUAAUCUAUUGAUAGGAAGAGGAGAAAAUAAUCUAGUCUGUCACUAGAAAUAUCAGAGCCUUUUAAUUUACCCUCAGAAACUGUAAAUUAUCAUGGUGUGUAUUGCACUAUGUUGAUAAAGCUGUGAGGGGAAAAGACUGCAGCUAAUAACUAGCUCUGAGUUCAGAAUUGCAGCAUGUUCCGUGAAGCUUCUGGAUGUUGGCACUUUCCAAGAGUGAUGGAGAUGUGGGUCCCCUGGCAGAGAAAGAGGUGAGCUUCCAGUUGUGUGCAGCUGGGUCAUGGCAAAGGACUUAAAAUUUGCAUUUUUAUUUGCAUAAUAUUUUUAAUUGCCCAAUAUUUGUAAUUGUAUUUUUUGUAAAUGUUCACAUUAUAUAUUAUAAAAUUUAAAAUAGAAAUAUUAGUAAUUCAAAUACUUUCCUUAAGAAAAAGACCUGAAAACUUUAUAUUUUAGAGCAUAUAGAUCUACUAAAAGAAUUUUAAAUUGUUUUGGGAAAUAAAAGCUCCACGUGGCAUUUUUUUUACAAUGUGUCUCUCAACAAGACAAUGCUACUAUUGAUCAGUCAAACUUAAAAUAUUUGUAUGUUUCAAAUUACAUCACCAUCAUUAAUUCUGAUACUGACAGCUAAGUUUGGCUUACUAAUGAAGCAGUCUGGUGAUAAAACACAGUGGAAAAACCAUGUAUGUAUCCUGAAUAUGUCCUUUUCCUGUAUCUGCAGUCCAUCAGCCCCAAUUACUCUGCUCUUUUUCCACUGUCUGAUUAACAGCAGCCACAGAGAAUGUUAUCAAAAGUGAACA